rnacentral:tRNA from 1 species
GGUUGUGGCUCAGAGGUAGAGCAUAUGCCUAGCACAUGCAAGGUACUGAGUUCAAUCCUCAGCACCA